rnacentral:rRNA from 1 species
AGGACGAACGCUGGCGGCGUGCUUAACACAUGCAAGUCGAGCGGAAAGGCCCUUCGGGGUACUCGAGCGGCGAACGGGUGAGUAACACGUGAGCAACCUGCCCUUAGCUUCGGGAUAGCUCCGGGAAACCGGAAUUAAUACCGAAUAUGACUUUGGCUGACAUCAGCAGAAGUGGAAAGUUUUUCGGCUAGGGAUGGACUCGCGGCCUAUCAGCUAGUUGGUGAGGUAACGGCCCACCAAGGCGACGACGGGUAGCCGGCCUGAGAGGGCGACCGGCCACACUGGGACUGAGACACGGCCCAGACUCCUACGGGAGGCAGCAGUGGGGAAUAUUGCGCAAUGGGCGAAAGCCUGACGCAGCGACGCCGCGUGGGGGAUGAAUGCCUUCGGUUGUAAACCCUUUCAGCAGGGACGAAGCGAAAGUGACGGUACCUGCAGAAGAAGCGCCGGCUAACUACGUGCCAGCAGCCGC